rnacentral:rRNA from 1 species
AUUGAACGCUGGCGGCAUGCUUUACACAUGCAAGUCGAACGGCAGCGCGGGCUUCGGCCUGGCGGCGAGUGGCGAACGGGUGAGUAAUACAUCGGAACGUGCCCAGUAGUGGGGGAUAGCUCGGCGAAAGCCGGAUUAAUACCGCAUACGACCUGAGGGUGAAAGCGGGGGAUCUUCGGACCUCGCGCUAUUGGAGCGGCCGAUGGAAGAUUAGGUAGUUGGUGGGGUAAAGGCCUACCAAGGCGACGAUCUGUAGCUGGUCUGAGAGGACGACCAGCCACACUGGGACUGAGACACGGCCCAGACUCCUACGGGAGGCAGCAGUGGGGAAUUUUGGACAAUGGGCGAAAGCCUGAUCCAGCAAUGCCGCGUGUGUGAUGAAGGCCUUCGGGUUGUAAAGCACUUUUGGCGGGAACGAAAAGGACUGUGCCAAUACCACGGUUCGAUGACGGUACCCGCAGAAUAAGCACCGGCUAACUACGUG